GUUUUUUUCCCAAAUGAGGAUAAUUAUCACAUUCGUGAAUUUAAGUUUGGUAUCCUCACAGUCGUAAUCCAUGAUUCCAAGCGUGUAAUCCAAUCAGCUGUAGCGAUUUGCUGUUGCCCCAUUCAUGUGAUUGGAGGAGUCCUUAGCAUAUGAGAGACUGAUUGACCCUUGUGAGUUUUUCGCAGAUUUGUCCAAAACUCAUUCACCUGCUAAAUGGCACAAAUCUGCUCUAAUCAUGUAAAGUUAUGGAGAGGACUUUUUUGUGAUUUUUCAAGUGCCAGGAUUUGAUUCAGCCAUCAAGGACUGAGGUGUCUUGAGCCCUGACUCUGCAUUUAUAAAGCAGAAAGAGAGCUGUGGAAGAGCGCUGUAACAUCUUUAUUAGGACCAACCAUAACAGAAGAACCAACCUACACAGUUUAUAUAUUUUAGCAGUGUUUUUCUUGUUUUUUUUUUUUUUUUUUUUCCCCAAUGGACCUGCCUACCGUCCAACUCCUCUGCCUCAAGCAGGAAGACCAUUCCCUGGAGGAUCACACCAGAGACUUUUUGGAUUUGGAUUUAGGAACGGUCCACAGGAGAAUUACGCUGCUUCCGUGGAGUGGGUGCUGGUGAAUAAUAAUUCGGCUUUCACCAUCAGCUUCAUGGAGGAGGAUUUCACCAGCCCCACUCCAAAUCCAGAGACCAGCCUGCCACCAUCCACGAGCAACGUGACAGAGACGUUGCUUGAGCCCACCACAGACAGAGAGCCCAAGCCUGCUGCGAUGCAUGAAUGUGUACAAGAGGAAACGACUGAGCUGUCCAUCGCCCCGGAGCCUAAGCCUCACGAUGAAUCUGGCCAGGUGUGCGAGCUGGCAACAUUGUGGAUUGCCAAGGGAGUAUAAGUGGAGAUUGAUAGCUUGGAGGAAAGCCCCACCCACACUCCCGCCGCUGUAAGGGAGUUGAGUCUGGCCUCUUGUCCCUCCGGUCCUCGGGUUUCACCCUGGCCCUGCAUCUGCUCUGUUCCACCUGGCUUACCAUCUCUAGUGGCUCAGUCUCCAUCACUUGUCCCCAGGGUGUCGUCUGCCAAGUCAACACCAUGGCUCCUCUGUCCCUCGACUCUGUCCUGGGGCCUUGUCCUGGGUGGUCUCUGGACCAACAUCUGGCUCCUCCUGCUAAUAGGUCCUCCCACCCUCCACACACCCUUGGAUUUAUUUUUUGGAUUUAUUUUGGUUUUGCCCCAUCCUGCUCUGAGCCCUCCUCCAGAGCCCCACACUUCCUCCUCAGUUGAACUUCUUACGGCACGAGGACACACCUUCCCGGGAAGGUGGUAAAAUGUAAAAUGUAUGUCUUGUGUUUCCAUUGUGUGGUUGGUUUGAGCUAGAUUUCCUGUGUUCUAAUUAGUUCAUUCUGUCCACCUGUUGUCUUGUUAGUUACCUCAUUAGUUCCUUUGUUUGGUUCAUGCGUCCUCGGUCAAGUUCAAGUCCUCAGUUCUCCCUCAGUGUUUGUCGGAUCUCAUUUAUGUCGGCGUGUAAUUCAUUCCUGUCUCCAGUAUCUUUAUUAUUAAAGUCUAUUUCCUAGUGUUUAUCUUCAUCUAAGUGAACUUUAUUAGUACCAACCAACACACACAAAGACUUCGCAGGUAAAAUUAAAUCACUUUAAUUAAAAAAGGCUACUAGCUUAUACCAGCUGUUCGCAUUGUGUGCCGCUAAAUCUAAUGAGCAUUUUCCACUGCUGCCAGGCAACUUGACUGAGUUUCUCUCGUACUUGAAGCUCCUUUCACAGCUCCUCUUCAGUUCCACAUAUAAUUUUCUCAGAGCAAAUUGUGUUUAACAAAAUAGGAGGUUUAUACGGUUUAAUGUAUCUGACAUGACUUUGGACAAUUAUGUGCCCCAUACAUAAAGAAAUCAGAUCCCAGUCCCAUAGGGCCUGAUUCGGUUUCUUUCCACGCAGGACUAAAUGUGUAAGUUUUAGCAGGCAGCCGGUGAGUAGUAUUUAAAUAAAUUGGGAGUUUGCCAUUUAUUAAU
ensembl:lncRNA